UUGGUAGAUCCUAAUUGGACUUGGAAUCUGGGCGGGACCCCAACAACCAUUCGCGGCGAUAUGACGCUUCAGUUUUGGGCCACCUGCGGCGCGUGUGUGCCGGGCGUUAUUGAUGCUAACUGGA
rnacentral:misc_RNA from 1 species